AGCGAACGUUUGCGGCGGGCCUAACACAUGCAAGUCGAACGCACUAGCAAUAGUGAGUGGCGCACGGGUGCGUAACACGUGGGUAAUCAACCCUUCAGCUUGGGAUAACGACUUGAAAGGGUCGCUAAUACCGGAUACGGCGCGGGAGGCUUCGGCUUCUCACGAGAAAGCCUCGCAAGGGGCACCGAAGGACGAGCCUGCGGCCCAUCAGCUAGUUGGUGAGGUAAGAGCUCACCAAGGCUAAGACGGGUAGCUGGUCUGAGAGGAUGAUCAGCCACACUGGAACUGAGACACGGUCCAGACUCCUACGGGAGGCAGCAGUGGGGAAUAUUGCGCAAUGGGCGAAAGCCUGACGCAGCCACGCCGCGUGAGCGAUGAAGGCCU
rnacentral:rRNA from 1 species